rnacentral:rRNA from 1 species
UACGGGGGGGAGCAAGCGUUUGUUCGGAUUUACUGGGCGUAAAGGGCGCGUAGGCGGUCAGCACAAGUCAGUUGUGAAAUCUCCGGGCUUAACUCGGAAAGGUCAACUGAUACUGUGCGACUAGAGUGCAGAAGGGGCAACUGGAAUUCUCGGUGUAGUGGUGAAAUGCGUAGAUAUCGGGAGGAACACCAGUGGCGAAGGCGACUACCUGGCCUGUUCUUGACGCUGAGGCGCGAAAGCUAGGGGAGCAAACGGG